rnacentral:lncRNA from 1 species
CGCAAAUGUGUACGUGUGUGUGCACGCGUAAGUGUUGCAGUGGGUAUCCGGCCGGCAAAAGGAGCAGCAAAUGGACAGAUCACGGCUCUGCUUUUAUCUGAUCAUACACUAAACUUCUGCUUCUGAUUUUGUUGAACAAGAAGGAGACUCCAGAAGCAUUCUGGGGACCAGCCCUUCGGAGUGACCAGUUGCCUGCAGAAGGGGCCAAGCACUAUACUGAGCAUGUGACGUUCAAGAAGAGGUGGACAGCUCACACCUCAGGGAUCCGAGUCCUUCCUGCCCCUCAGCCCACUGCACUCAUGGGGACAGCUCCCUCCACGACCCAGCGGGUGUCUCCUCUCCGUGGCCCUCCUCAUCUGUACCAGGUGUGAUGGAGACGUUAUGGCCGACAUUUAAAUGAAGAAACUGGAUACAGUAGCAGGUGACUCGGUGUUUGGCAACCGCCCUCAGUCUCCACCCG